CGGACGGGUGAGUAACGCGUAAGAAUCUACCUUCAGGUUCGGGACAACCACUGGAAACGGUGGCUAAUACCGAAUGUGCCGAGAGGUGAAAGGCUUGCUGCCUGAAGAAGAGCUUGCGUCUGAUUAGCUAGUUGGUGGGGUAAAAGCCUACCAAGGCGACGAUCAGUAGCUGGUCUGAGAGGAUGAUCAGCCACACUGGGACUGAGACACGGCCCAGACUCCUACGGGAGGCAGCAGUGGGGAAUUUUCCGCAAUGGGCGAAAGCCUGACGGAGCAAUACCGCGUGAGGGAGGAAGGCUCUUGGGUUGUAAACCUCUUUUCUCAGGGAAGAAAAAAUGACGGUACCUGAGGAAUAAGCAUCGGCUAACUCCGUGCCAGCAGCCGCGGUAAUACGGAGGAUGCAAGCGUUAUCCGGAAUGAUUGGGCGUAAAGGGUCCGCAGGUGGCAUUGUAAGUCUGCUGUUAAAGAGUCUAGCUCAACUAGAUAAAAGCAGUGGAAACUACAAAGCUAGAGUACGUUCGGGGCAGAGGGAAUUCCUGGUGUAGCGGUGAAAUGCGUAGAUAUCAGGAAGAACACCGGUGGCGAAAGCGCUCUGCUAGGCCGUAACUGACACUGAGGGACGAAAGCUAGGGGAGCGAAUGGGAUUAGAUACCCCAGUAGUCCUAGCCGUAAACGAUGGAUACUAGGUGUGGCUUGUAUCGACCCGAGCCGUACCGGAGCUAACGCGUUAAGUAUCCCGCCUGGGGAGUACGCAGGCAACUGUGAAACUCAAAGGAAUUGACGGGGGCCCGCACAAGCGGUGGAGUAUGUGGUUUAAUUCGAUGCAACGCGAAGAACCUUACCAAGGCUUGACAUGUCACGAAUUCCGUUGAAAGAGGAAGUGCCUUAGGGAGCGUGAACACAGGUGGUGCAUGGCUGUGGACAGCUCGUGUCGUGAGAUGUUGGGUUAAGUCCCGCAACGAGCGCAACCCUCGUCUUUAGUUGCCAGCAUGAAAGAUGGGAACUCUAGAGAGACUGCCGGUGACAAACCGGAGGAAGGUGGGGAUGACGUCAAGUCAGCAUGCCCCUUACGCCUUGGGCUACACACGUACUACAAUGCUCCGGACAAAGGGCAGCUACACAGCGAUGUGAUGCAAAUCUCAUAAACCGGAGCUCAGUUCAGAUCGAAGGCUGCAACUCGCCUUCGUGAAGGAGGAAUCGCUAGUAAUUGCAGGUCAGCAUACUGCAGUGAAUUCGUUCCCGGGCCUUGUACACACCGCCCGUCACACCAUGGAAGUUGGUCACGCCCGAAGUCAUUACCCCAACCGAAAGGAGGGGGAUGCCUAAGGUAGGACUGAUGACUGGGGUGAAGUCGUAACAAGGUAGCCGUACCGGAAGGUGUGGCUGGAUCACCUCCUUU
rnacentral:rRNA from 1 species